rnacentral:rRNA from 1 species
UACGAAGGGGGCUAGCGUUUGCUCGGAAUCACUGGGCGUAAAGCGCACGUAGGCCGAUUGUUAAGUCAGGGGUGAAAUCCCGGAGCUCAACUCCGGAACUGCCUUUGAUACUGGAGAUCUUGAGUCCGGGAGAGGUGAGUGGAACUCCGAGUGUAGAGGUGAAAUUCGUAGAUAUUCGGAAGAACACCAGUGGCGAAGGCGGCUCACUGGCCCGGUACUGACGCUGAGGUGCGAAAGCGUGGGGAGCAAACAGGG